UUUUGUUUUUAUUAGUCGAGUUAAUAGUUUAAAAUUCAAGCAAAACAAUGUAAAAGGUCCUAAGUCCAAAAUGUAAACAAACCAGAUUUUUUGUGCAAACAAUGCCAAAAGUCUUUAACUAUCGCUACAUAUCGAGGAUUAUAUAAAAAAACAUGUUAUUUAUAUGAAAAAAUAACUGUUUUACAAAAGGCCAAAGUCAAAGAAAUUUAGUUUGUUUCCAAAACACUCAUAGACACUUUAUUUCAAAGGGUCAAUGUGGAAACUGGGUUGUUUUGUUUUGAAAUCGUGUUUGGUCCAUGGCCAAAACAAUGUAUUUCAAAACAAACAACGAAACAAGGUAUGGAACUUGGUUCAAAUUAGUUUAAAAAACAGCGGACGGAACGGAACAGAUUAGCGACGCCGUGGGAGGCCACGGAUCACAUUUCAACUUCCGGAUGCGUCGAAAAAGGACGACCUCACCAACCUGGUCCACGCGAACAUCGAUCAGUUCAGCCAGUACUGGCGGGAAUGGCCUGGCGCGUUCUGUUUCAUCUCGGCUUCAUCCACCGGUGGAAAUCCAUCAGCCCCAAGAUUAGCACACAUUCCUGUCCGCGCUUCUGCAAUAAUUAAAUUAUUCUUUCGCGAUGGAAAACCUUCGGCCGCACGGACGUUUACCAUCAGUCCCGCUUAAGCAGCAACGAAGUUAAACAGAACCUACUUCCGCCAACGACUAUUUCAUGGAUCGACUUCCGAAACAACCCGGCAAUGUUGUCAAGCACUGAUGAGGCAUGCGGAAGUGGCCACACGAGCGCCAACACUUCGUCGCCGGAGCAGCGGAUGCGCCAGGGUCCAAAACGUUACAUGCUGUCCUCGGACGCGGUCAUACACCAAAGUGAAGAGAUCGAGAUCGAGGAAGGUGUUGGUGGAGAAUCGCUACAAAUUUGUUACCGAAAGCAAAGGCGGCCAGUACAAGUCAGCGCCGUUCCAGAGUCGAAAUCCAACACGUGUUACUCAUUCUUUGAAAACUACCGCCAACCGCCACUUUGACUGACAAAUCCUUCGCGUUUCAACGCCAUCCGCGACGUCUCCAAAUAACGAUUUUACUUUUUCACUAACAAAGAUUUACUUUAAAUAAAAGUUUCCCAGUAUUUCUGGGAUCCUCAAGACGUGUGUCAUGAUGAUUCUAGCCAUUUACUAUACAUAUUAAAACAAACGACGGCAAAUCA